CGGCGGGGGAUGGGCAUGCGGCGCAUUAGCUAGUCGGCGGGGUAACGGCCCACCGAGGCGACGAUGCGUAGGGGUUCUGAGAGGAAGGUCCCCCACACUGGUACUGAGACACGGACCAGACUCCUACGGGAGGCAGCAGUGAGGAAUAUUGGUCAAUGGGCGGGAGCCUGAACCAGCCAAGUCGCGUGAGGGAAGACGGUCCUACGGAUUGUAAACCUCUUUUGCCGGGGAGCAACGGGGUCCUUGCGAGGGCCCGAUGAGAGUACCCGGAGAAAAAGCAUCGGCUAACUCCGUGCCAGCAGCCGCGGUAAUACGGAGGAUGCGAGCGUUAUCCGGAUUUAUUGGGUUUAAAGGGUGCGUAGGCGGGCUGUUAAGUCAGCGGUCAAAUGUCGGGGCUCAACCCCGGCCUGCCGUUGAAACUGGCGGCCUCGAGUGGGCGAGAAGUAUGCGGAAUGCGUGGUGUAGCGGUGAAAUGCGUAGAUAUCACGCAGAACUCCGAUUGCGAAGGCAGCAUACCGGCGCCCUACUGACGCUGAGGCACGAAAGCGUGGGUAUCGAACAGGAUUAGAUACCCUGGUAGUCCACGCAGUAAACGAUGAAUGCUAGCUGUCCGGUUCUACGGGACUGG
rnacentral:rRNA from 1 species